CACUGAUGCAUUGGCUCAGUAAAUUAUUUUCUAUCAUCUCAGUUAAUUGAAUUUUGUCCACUACUCUUAGAAUUCCUCCCUUUUGGAUGAGGUUACUAAGUUCAAUCAGCGCCAUUGUGAACCUUGUCUCAUUGCUGUUGCAUAAAACAACUUUAUCUGCUUAAAAUGCAUUGGUGGAAAUGGACUAAGAAGAAUAAUGAAAUAAAGGUCUCCUUACACCCGAUCAAUAGGCACUAGAAAAAGUACUCUGUGGAGGUUAUAUCGCAGGAAGAGGGCUUGUACGACAAAACUCAGUUUCCCAUAGAAAGUGUACACACAAAAUAAUAAAACUGCAAGGUUAUAGUCUAAAUUUAUAA